CCGAAGCUAACGCAUUAAGUUCCCCGCCUGGGGGAGUACGGUCGCAAGGCUAAAACUCAAAGGAAUUGACGGGGGCCGCACAAGCGGUGGAGCAUGUGGUUCAAUUCGAUGCAACGCGAAAAACCUUACCUGGGUUUGACAUCCUUUGACAGUCCCUGAAAGGGGAUCUUCCCGAUUUAUCGGGACAAAGUGACAGGUGCUGCAUGGCUGUCGUCAGCUCGUGUCGUGAGAUGUUGGGUUAAGUCCCGCAACGAGCGCAACCCUUGUCUUUAGUUGCCAAUAUUAAGUUAGGCACUCUAAUGAUACUGCCCCGGUUAACGGGGAGGAAGGUGGGGAUGACGUCAAGUCCUCAUGGCCUUUAUACCCAGGGCUACACACGUGCUACAAUGGGCUAUACAAAGGGCUGCCACUCUGCAAAGAGGAGCUAAUCCCAAAAAGUAGUCCUAAGUUCGGAUUGGAGUCUGCAACUCGACUCCAUGAAGCUGGAAUCGCUAGUAACCGUGGAUCAGCAUGCCACGGUGAAUACGUUCCCGGGGCCUUGUACACACCGCCCGUCACACCACGAAAG
rnacentral:rRNA from 1 species